GUGAACGAUGAAGGCUUUCGGGUCGUAAAGUUCUGUUGUAAGGGAAGAACAAGUGCCGCAGGCAAUGGCGGCACCUUGACGGUACCUUGCGAGAAAGCCACGGCUAACUACGUGCCAGCAGCCGCGGUAAUACGUAGGUGGCAAGCGUUGUCCGGAAUUAUUGGGCGUAAAGCGCGCGCAGGCGGCCUCUUAAGUCUGAUGUGAAAGCCCCCGGCUCAACCGGGGAGGGCCAUUGGAAACUGGGAGGCUUGAGUAUAGGAGAGAAGAGUGGAAUUCCACGUGUAGCGGUGAAAUGCGUAGAGAUGUGGAGGAACACCAGUGGCGAAGGCGACUCUUUGGCCUAUAACUGACGCUGAGGCGCGAAAGCGUGGGGAGCAAACAGGAUUAGAUACCCUGGUAGUCCACGCCGUAAACGAUGAGUGCUAGGUGUUGGAGGGUUUCCGCCCUUCAGUGCUGAAGCUAACGCAUUAAGCACUCCGCCUGGGGAGUACGGUCGCAAGGCUGAUACUCAAAGGAAUUGACGGGGAUCCGCACAAGCGGUGGAGCAU
rnacentral:rRNA from 1 species